rnacentral:misc_RNA from 1 species
AACGGGGCACAACAGGCUUCCGUAAGGGACAAUUGAUUCGGGCAAAAAAGGGACAAGGACCCCGACCGAUCAUGCAUCUACAUACAAGAUUUCGAGCGACACUUGGGCAUCCGAUGCUUGCAAGCUAAAUAAGCAAAGCAAGGGCGGACGUCCGUAGGAGCUUUAGGGUCUACAUCGCACAAAACAUUUCGCACGAGAUAGAUUAGGGGCCAUGGGACUAGAGAAUUCCAUCAAAAUAGGUAYGCUGCACAGGAGGCCAAGCUAAUCCAAGGCAAACAUUUGGCACUCGGAGAGAAUUGAACAGGUUURAACCAACGGUUGUCGCUGCCAAGGCAGGGAACCAACCAGCCGAUACAUGCCAAUCACCA